rnacentral:rRNA from 1 species
GACGAACGCUGGCGGCGUGCCUAAUACAUGCAAGUCGAACGCAGUUGCGAACGGGUGAGUAACGCGUAGGUAACCUGCCUCAUAGCGGGGGAUAACUAUUGGAAACGAUAGCUAAUACCGCAUACUGUGCGAUGGACCUGCGUUGUAUUAGCUAGUUGGUGAGGUAAAGGCUCACCAAGGCGACGAUACAUAGCCGACCUGAGAGGGGGAUCGGCCACACUGGGACGGGGACACGGGCCAGACUCCUACGGGAGGCAGCAGUGGGGAAUAUUGCGCAAUGGGCGCAAGCCUGAUGCAGCCAGGCCGCGUGAGUGAAGAAGGCCUUCGGGUUGUAAAGUACUGUCAGCGGGGAGGCGUUACCCGCAGAAGAAGCACCGGCUAACUCCGUGCCAGCAGCCGCGGUAAUAC